UAGGGAAUCUUCGGCAAUGGGGGGAACCCUGACCGAGCAACGCCGCGUGAGUGAAGAAGGUUUUCGGAUCGUAAAGCUCUGUUGUUAAGGAAGAACGAGUGUGAGAAUGGUAAGUUCAUACUGUGACGGUACUUAACCAGAAAGGGACGGCUAAUUACGUGCCAGCAGCCGCGGUAAUACGUAAGGUCCGAGCGUUGUCCGGAAUCAUUGGGCGUAAAGGGUACGUAGGCGGGUAAGCAAGUUAGAAGUGAAAUCCUGUAGCUCAACUACAGUAAGCUUUUAAAACUGCUCAUCUUGAGAUAUGGAAGGGAAAGUGGAAUUCCUAGUGUAACGGUGAAAUGCGCAGAUAUUAGGAGGAAUACCGGUGGCGAAGGCGACUUUCUGGCCAUAAUCUGACGCUGAGGUACGAAAGCGUGGGUAGCAAACAGG
rnacentral:rRNA from 1 species